AGAUGUCAGCUUGCCUAGUUAAAUAAAGGUAAAAUAAAGAUGUCAGCUUGCCUAGUUAAAUAAAGGUAAAAUAAAGAUGUCAGCUUGCCUAGUUAAAUAAAGGUAAAAUAAAGAUGUCAGCUUGCCUAGUUAAAUAAAGGUAAAAUAAAGAUGUCAGCUUGCCUAGUUAAAUAAAGGUAAAAUAAAGAUGUCAGCUUGCCUAGUUAAAUAAAGGUAAAAUAAAGAUGUCAGCUUGCCUAGUUAAAUAAAGGUAAAAUAAAGAUGUCAGCUUGCCUAGUUAAAUAAAGGUAAAAUAAAGAUGUCAGCUUGCCUAGUUAAAUAAAGGUAAAAUAAAGAUGUCAGCUUGCCUAGUUAAAUGAAGGUAAAAUAAAGAUGUCAGCUUGCCUAGUUAAAUAAAGGUAAAAUAAAGAUGUUAGCUUGCCUAGUUAAAUAAAGGUAAAAUAAAGAUGUCAGCUUGCCUAGUUAAAUAAAGGUAAAAUAAAGAUGUCAGCUUGCCUAGUUAAAUAAAGGUAAAAUAAAGAUGUCAGCUUGCCUAGUUAAAUAAAGGUAAAAUAAAGAUGUCAGCUUGCCUAGUUAAAUAAAGGUAAAAUAAAGAUGUCAGCUUGCCUAGUUAAAUGAAGGUAAAAUAAAGAUGUCAGCUUGCCUAGUUAAAUAAAGGUAAAAUAAAGAUGUCAGCUUGCCUAGUUAAAUGAAGGUAAAAUAAAGAUGUCAGCUUGCCUAGUUAAAUGAAGGUAAAAUAAAGAUGUCAGCUUGCCUAGUUAAAUGAAGGUAAAAUAAAGAUGUCAGCUUGCCUAGUUAAAUGAAGGUAAAAUAAAGAUGUCAGCUUGCCUAGUUAAAUGAAGGUAAAAUAAAGAUGUCAGCUUGCCUAGUUAAAUGAAGGUAAAAUAAAGAUGUCAGCUUGCCUAGUUAAAUGAAGGUAAAAUAAAGAUGUCAGCUUGCCUAGUUAAAUAAAGGUAAAAUAAAGAUGUCAGCUUGCCUAGUUAAAUAAAGGUAAAAUAAAGAUGUCAGCUUGCCUAGUUAAAUGAAGGUAAAAUAAAGAUGUCAGCUUGCCUAGUUAAAUAAAGGUAAAAUAAAGAUGUCAGCUUGCCUAGUUAAAUAAAGGUAAAAUAAAGAUGUCAGCUUGCCUAGUUAAAUAAAGGUAAAAUAAAGAUGUCAGCUUGCCUAGUUAAAUAAAGGUAAAAUAAAGAUGUUAGCUCGCAUUAAACGUAUCUUAUAUAAAAAUAAAUCAA